UGGGGAAUAUUGGACAAUGGGCGCAAGCCUGAUCCAGCCAUGCCGCGUGUGUGAAGAAGGCCUUUUGGUUGUAAAGCACUUUAAGCGAGGAGGAGGCUACUUGGAUUAAUACCCUAGGAUAGUGGACGUUACUCGCAGAAUAAGCACCGGCUAACUCUGUGCCAGCAGCCGCGGUAAUACAGAGGGUGCGAGCGUUAAUCGGAUUUACUGGGCGUAAAGCGUGCGUAGGCGGCUUUUUAAGUCGGAUGUGAAAUCCCUGAGCUUAACUUAGGAAUUGCAUUCGAUACUGGGAAGCUAGAGUAUGGGAGAGGAUGGUAGAAUUCCAGGUGUAGCGGUGAAAUGCGUAGAGAUCUGGAGGAAUACCGAUGGCGAAGGCAGCCAUCUGGCCUAAUACUGACGCUGAGGUACGAAAGCAUGGGGAGCAAACAGG
rnacentral:rRNA from 1 species